GUGGCAGAGGGCAGAAGCUUGGUGGGGUAGAGGAGCCAGUACAGUGGGUACAGGUGCUUUGGGCUGUGGAACCAUCCCAUCAAGCCUGCCAAUCCCCAUCGAUGGCUUUUUCAGCUCCUUUUUAGUGCAAUGUAAAGUCUGUCCCCAAAGCAGCCUCACUUCAAAAGCAUGGCUCUACAUGUCCUCAGGCUUUUUGCCUUUGUGACUUGGCAGAGGGGGAGGAGAGCCUUCCCGAAGGCUAAUACUCCUCUGGAAUAGACUUGGAGGCAGUAGUAGGCUCUGCUUUCCUCCCAGAUCUCCUUACCUUUUCUGGCUUGAGCUGUAAGUCCUGUGGGAAUCCUAAACCCCUUAUCUGCAUGGGAGGUGAGAAACCCCCCUGGCUGGGCUAGGAUGCUCUGCCAGUUAAAACACCCCUGUGGCUGGGAUGGCAGAAAGGAACACAAAGAAUCAUUUCCUAACUGCUCCGCACCCAGCGUCCUUUGAGUGGGACAUGUGGCAGUGGGACCUCAAAGGGAGCACAAUGAGUGUGGUCUGCCAGGAAAAGAAAAACAAAACAACUCUCAGCAGAUCUCUUUCAUGGCCAUUACAGGCAGUGACUGUGGAAGAAAGAAAGUUGAAGUGGAUAAAUAGUAAGGAUUUCCUCAGGAUUGUGAAUGCAGGUGCCCAAAGCUACCUACCAGCCCUUUGCAGAGGGGAAGGGGAUGUGGGAAGGCUGCAGCUCAUCUGACUAUGCCCCUGUGGUCUCCCCAGGUCCUGCCAUUGGGUCCUACAUCUGGGCAGCAUCUCCUGGCUGGGUGCUGCAGAGCCCACCUUGGGACCUCACAUCUUGCCCCCUGAUGGGUUCAUCCGCAGCAGGAAAUGGCUCGUGUCUCAGCCUGCAAGGGAUAGGUCAGCAGCCCCAAAAGCACUUUGGUAGAAGCAGUGGGGAGGACUCCAGGUCCAGGAGGGCAGCACUUGUCAGGCUUGCUCUUGCUUUGUGGCAGCAGCUUUUGAGGCAGCACAAUGUACCACAACACAGAGGAGUGAUAAAAGUCCUGUUGACUGCAGAGCAGGAGCUUAGAGAUGUCUCUGUGGUGGCAGCAGAGCAGAGGUUUGGGCAGCACUCCUGAGGGAUGGAGGUGCUGGUGCCUGCAGGGGCAUGAUGGAUCCAGGAUGUCAGGAUCUCUGCGGAUGCUCCUGCAGCGACAGUUCACGCCUGUGUGUGCUGCAGGAAUUGCUUG
rnacentral:lncRNA from 14 species